CGGGCCCUCUCUUGACGCCCCGUCAGUAGCAGAGACUGACCGAACAAUAGGCCUUGAGUGUGGGCAUUCCUGGGGCCCCACUUCUCUCUGUGGCUUCGGCCCACUACUAGUCAUGGCCAGUAAGAAUGAUAAUGGUCCGUGAGGGCCAAAACGACUCUGAGGAGAACAGUAGGGACCCGAACUCCUCUUCCUCAGAGCCUCACCAGAAGGAGCCAAGGCCCUAGCCGAGCCUGUGAUUCAGAUUCCGAGGCGCCGUUCCUCACGAAGGCGGCGGCGAACCACAUUGCAGUUCACACUGGGGCAGGUGGAGGAAAUGGAAAAAUUGUUCAAAGAAACCCAGUACACAGAUGCGCUUGCCAGGAAUGAACUUGCACAAGCUUUGAAUAUUCCUGAAGUCAAAGUGAAGACAUGGUUCGUCCAUCAGAGAGCUGAAGAGAGGAAGAGUGAGAGGUCUGUAGUAUUACAGAGCAUACCUCCUCCUAUUGAAAAGGUCCUUCUCCUUAGGGAAAGGGACGACUAUCUCUAGAGUGCAAUCUUUGUUCAGGAGCUAAAGGGAAAUUUGGUGACACAUGUACUCAAUGUACAGCUUAACUAAAAUUCAGCACUCAU